GACGAACGCUGGCGGCGUGCCUAAUACAUGCAAGUAGAACGCACAGUUUAUACCGUAGCUUGCUACACCAUAGACUGUGAGUUGCGAACGGGUGAGUAACGCGUAGGUAACCUGCCUGGUAGCGGGGGAUAACUAUUGGAAACGAUAGCUAAUACCGCAUAAUAUUGAUUAUUGCAUGAUAAUUGAUUGAAAGAUGCUAUUGCAUCACUACCAGAUGGACCUGCGUUGUAUUAGCUAGUAGGUGAGGUAACGGCUCACCUAGGCGACGAUACAUAGCCGACCCUAGGAGGGGGACCGGCACACUUGGACUGAGACACGGCCCAGACUCCUACGGGAGGCAGCAGUAGGGAAUCUUCGGCAAUGGACGAAAGUCUGACCGAGCAACGCCGCGUGAGUGAAGAAGGUUUUCGGAUCGUAAAGCUCUGUUGUAAGAGAGGAACGGGUGUGAGAGUGGAAAGUUCACACUGUGACGGUAUCUUACCAGAAAGGGACGGCUAACUACGUG
rnacentral:rRNA from 1 species